rnacentral:rRNA from 1 species
UUGGAGGGCAAGUCUGGUGCCAGCAGCCGCGGUAAUUCCAGCUCCAAUAGCGUAUAUUAAAGUUGCUGCAGUUAAAAAGCUCGUAGUUGAAUUUCGGGACCAAUAUGUCGGUCGUGCCUCGGUACGUACUGGCAUCGUUGGUUUCUCCCUUCUGACGAACCAUGAUGUCAUUCAUUUGGUGUCGUGGGGAAUCAGGACUGUUACUUUGAAAAAAUUAGAGUGUUUAAAGCAGGCUCACGCUUGAAUACAUUAGCAUGGAAUAAUGAAAUAGGACGUUUGAUUCUAUUUUGUUGGUUUCUAGGAUCGACGUAAUGAUUAAUAGGGAUAGUUGGGGGCAUUAGUAUUCAAUUGUCAGAGGUGAAAUUCUUGGAUUUAUUGAAGACUAACUACUGCGAAAGCAUUUGCCAAGGAUGUUUUCAUUAAUCAAGAACGAAAGUUAGGGGAUCGAAGACGAUCAGAUACCGUCGUGGUCUUAACCAUAAACUAUGCCGACUAGGGAUCGGAUGAUGUUAAUUUUUUAAUGACUCAUUCGGCGCCUUACGGGAAACCAAAGUGUUUGGGUUC